rnacentral:rRNA from 1 species
ACACGACUACAUUAGACUACCCCUGUAGUCCUAGCCGUAAACGAUACUCGCUAGGUGUCGGCCACGGUACGACCGUUGUCGGUGCCGUAGGGAAGCCGUGAAGCGAGCCACCUGGGAAGUACGGCCGCAAGGCUGAAACUUAAAGGAAUUGGCGGGGAGCACCACAACGGGUGGAGCCUGCGGUUUAAUUGGAUUCAACGCCGGGAAGCUCACCGGAUAAGACAGCUGAAUGAUUGUCAAUCUGAAGGUUUUACAUGACUAGCUG